rnacentral:antisense_RNA from 1 species
GUAGAGACGGAAUUGGCGGCGGGGGGCGGUGGGUGGGUGGGGGCGAUGUCUCACUUUGUUGCCCAGGCUGGUCUCGAACUCCUGGCUUCAAGGGAUCCUCCUGCCUCGGCCUCUUAAAGUGCUGGGAUUACAGGCGUGAGCCACCACCCCCGGCCGCCUCUGAGUUUCCAGCCUCGUUGGCCCUCCAGCCUUUUAACCUGUUGAGCCUAGGAUCAGGAAAGGUUUGUUGAAUGGGGAACUAAGAAGUGAAUUCGUUCGUUCGACAAACGUUUCCUGAGCAGCCGCUGGGUGCUAGGCGCGGUGCCAGCGCGGAAUGUCCAGGGAGACCUGGUGCCCAAAGCUUGGACCCAGCGUGAGAAAUGAGAAGCAGAUACAAAGCAGUGUGGGAGUGCAGAGGAGACAAAGCAAGCCUCAUUAGGCCCAUUGCUUGCUCUGCUCUCCCUUGUACUUACCAGUGCUUGACAAUAUACAGUUAUUUACUAGCUUGGUUAUUGACUUCCUACCCGGCACUCAACUUUAUUCACUGCUGUAUCCUCAGUGCCUAGGACGAUGCUUGGAACGUGAUUCAUUGAUUCCAGGUAAAUCAGAGGAACAAGCAACAUGAACAGAAAUAUGUAGAAAAUGCUAUUAUGCAGAAGCAUAAUUGUUGUUUCAGAAGUCCAGCAUCUGGUGCACUUAGCAAUAGAGAAUAUAUUAAAGUCUUUCCAAAAUAACCUGUUGUUCCUACCUGUGUUGUAAGUGUUUUGUUUGUUUUUAAGUAAAUAUUGGUGAUUUGUUGCCAAAAACCUAAACUGUUUAUUGCUGUCAACUUAAAUAACGAACAGAGAGAGGCUCUCUCAAAGAAAAUGGCAUUUAUUCAGGAAUAGAGCAUUGCAAUGAGAAAAUGCAUGUGAUAGUUAACUGUGUGUAUCCUGGGAGAUAGAGGAAGACAAAGGUCUUUAAAGGAAAAAUGAGGAGGGUUACAUAAUUGUUUUGAGAUAAUUAUUUUUGA